AGGCUGUGAUUCACUUUGCUGGAAAAUCAAUGGCGGCCCAUGCCCAGCAGCCCCCGCACGUCGGCGGUCCGGUCUGGGUAGGUCCGGCCGUACCGGCUCCAACGACGACGGCCUCCCUCGUCGGCAGGCUGCGCGGCAUGAGAUACCUCCUGCUGCUCCCGGCCGAAGGUGGGCUGGUCCGGUGAGACCCGGCUCCUCCAGGUGCGCCAGCGCUGCCUGGAAAGGGAGGCCGACCUCCCUUCUCCACAUACGGACCACCUCCCUGCCACGAACUCCGAACUCCUGCUGUUGCAUGCCAGUAAGAAGAGGAAAGACACUAUCUGCAUUGUCCUUGCGCGCGGAGGACACUUAUGAGGAGCCUAAAGUUAGGAUGGAAAAGGUCGUAGGAAGAACCUGACGUGAAAUAUGGGAAUUGUAUCCGCACUCAUCCAAUUGGUGAUACAGUUGAAGGCAUUACUGAAAACUAUUUGAUGCCUUCUUGAAAUGGUUCAUGUUUGGGUCUGGUGGUGGUACAAGCAGCCCAAGGCGGUGGUGGUGAUGGCGAGGAUGGAUCAGGAAGGAGCCCACUCGGUCUGCGCCGGGGACGGGAACGAUAACUACCCGCAGGGUAUGAUUACUGGCCACGUGUAUUACUUCCUGGAAGAUGUGAACCCUCUGGUGACUGGCCAGCAUCCUGUGAAGACUCCUUUGUUCAUCAAGACUGAUGUUUGCUUACAACAAUCUGGUCGUGGCUUGGCCAACCAACGCCGGGCUCGGUCCGGGUGCAAGGUUUGGUUCUAUGGAGUAUGGACCCACAGUUCCAAUGAUCACCCGAUGUCCAUGACAUGCGACAGAUCUAGGAAAGCGAAUUCUUUUAUUCCUUCAUAUUGUGAGGUUGUGCGAUGCAAGGUCCACGUGUACUUAUGCAUGCUAGAUCAUUGUUAUUGUGCAUAACGAAUAUAUGUGACUGGCAAGGACAACGACGAGCCAGUUUAGCUGUGACAUGUAGCUGCUGCAGGUUAGUGCAUCUAGGGGAUAGGGGAUGUCGUCAUCGUAUAUGUGCCUUGGUCGUCGAACAAUCUAUAUGCGCCUUAUCAACUUCGUUGAUGUUUCUUGUUCAGUAUUGUUUUACACCUCUUGUAUAUUUGAAUGUCAAAUUUGUUGUGUUGUGUGCACUCUAGCAAGUUUUUGAUGUACAGUAAAUACUUGCUAUGUGAUCAUGAUG